GAAAUGCGAUACGUAAUGUGAAUUGCAGAUUUCAGUGAAUCAUCGAAUCUUUGAACGCACAUUGCGCCCGCUAGUAUUCUGGCGGGCAUGCCUGUUCGAGCGUCAUUUCAACCAUCAAGCCCCCGGCUUGCGUUGGAGCCCUGCGGCUGCCGCAGGCUCCCAAAUCCAGUGGCGGGCUCGUCGUCGUACCGAGUGCAGUAAACAUCCUCGCUCAGGGAACGCGUCGGGUUCUUGCCGUGAAACACCCCACAUAUCAAGGUUGACCUCGGAUCAGGUAGGAAUACCCGCUGAACUUAA
rnacentral:misc_RNA from 1 species